UCUGGAACUAGUUUACGUGCAUGUCCAUAGAGACAACAAGCCUGCUCAUGAACUGUACGAAAAGAUCGAUUUCGAGGUACUUGAAAUGGCAAACUCUCAAUUGUUAAAGCAGCAGAUGUACUAGCUUUGUUUUAAGACAUAAAAUUCCUGUUGAAAAAGAAAUCCAAGAUUUCUUUUCUUCUCUUUUUGAAU